rnacentral:rRNA from 1 species
UGGAACGGUCUGGAAAGUCCGACGGUACAGGGUGAUAGUCCCGUACACCAAAAUGCACAGGUUGUGAACUCGAAGAGUAGGGCGGGACACGUGGUAUCCUGUCUGAAUAUGGGGGGACCAUCCUCCAAGGCUAAAUACUCCUGACUGACCGAUAGUGAACCAGUACCGUGAGGGAAAGGCGAAAAGAACCCCGGCGAGGGGAGUGAAAAAGAACCUGAAACCGUGUACGUACAAGCAGUGGGAGCACCUUUAUGGUGUGACUGCGUACCUUUUGUAUAAUGGGUCAGCGACUUAUAUUCUGUAGCAAGGUUAACCGUAUAGGGGAGCCGCAGGGAAACCGAGUCUUAACUGGGCGUUAAGUUGCAGGGUAUAGACCCGAAACCCGGUGAUCUAGCCAUGGGCAGGUUGAAGGUUGGGUAACACUAACUGGAGGACCGAACCGACUAAUGUUGAAAAAUUAGCGGAUGACUUGUGGCUGGGGGUGAAAGGCCAAUCAAACCGGGAGAUAGCUGGUUCUCCCCGAAAGCUAUUUAGGUAGCGCCUCGUGAAUUCAUCUUCGGGGGUAGAGCACUGUUUCGGCUAGGGGGUCAUCCCGACUUACCAACCCGAUGCAAACUACGAAUACCGAAGAAUGUUAUCACGGGAGACACACGGCGGGUGCUAACGUCCGUCGUGAAGAGGGAAACAACCCAGACCGCCAGCUAAGGUCCCAAAGUCACAGUUAAGUGGGAAACGAUGUGGGAAGGCACAGACAGCCAGGAUGUUGGCUUAGAAGCAGCCAUCAUUUAAAGAAAGCGUAAUAGCUCACUGGUCGAGUCGGCCUGCGCGGAAGAUGUAACGGGGCUAAACUGUGCACCGAAGCUGCGGCAGCGACACUAUGUGUUGUUGGGUAGGGGAGCGUUCUGUAAGCCUGCGAAGGUGGCCUGUGAGGGUUGCUGGAGGUAUCAGAAGUGCGAAUGCUGACAUAAGUAACGAUAAUGCGGGUGAAAAGCCCGCACGCCGGAAGACCAAGGGUUCCUGUCCAACGUUAAUCGGGGCAGGGUGAGUCGACCCCUAAGGCGAGGCCGAAAGGCGUAGUCGAUGGGAAACAGGUUAAUAUUCCUGUACUUGGUGUUACUGCGAAGGGGGGACGGAGAAGGCUAUGUUAGCCGGGCGACGGUUGUCCCGGUUUAAGCAUGUAGGCGGAGGUUCCAGGUAAAUCCGGUACCUUUUAACGCUGAGGUGUGAUGACGAGGCACUACGGUGCUGAAGUAACAAAUGCCCUGCUUCCAGGAAAAGCCUCUAAGCAUCAGGUAACAUUGAAUCGUACCCCAAACCGACACAGGUGGUCAGGUAGAGAAUACCAAGGCGCUUGAGAGAACUCGGGUGAAGGAACUAGGCAAAAUGGUGCCGUAACUUCGGGAGAAGGCACGCUGAUAUGUAGGUGAAGUCCCUGCGGAUGGAGCUGAAAUCAGUCGAAGAUACCAGCUGGCUGCAACUGUUUAUUAAAAACACAGCACUGUGCAAACACGAAAGUGGACGUAUACGGUGUGACGCCUGCCCGGUGCCGGAAGGUUAAUUGAUGGGGUUAUCCGUAAGGAGAAGCUCUUGAUCGAAGCCCCGGUAAACGGCGGCCGUAACUAUAACGGUCCUAAGGUAGCGAAAUUCCUUGUCGGGUAAGUUCCGACCUGCACGAAUGGCGUAAUGAUGGCCAGGCUGUCUCCACCCGAGACUCAGUGAAAUUGAACUCGCUGUGAAGAUGCAGUGUACCCGCGGCAAGACGGAAAGACCCCGUGAACCUUUACUAUAGCUUGACACUGAACAUUGAGCCUUGAUGUGUAGGAUAGGUGGGAGGCUUUGAAGCGUGGACGCCAGUCUGCGUGGAGCCAACCUUGAAAUACCACCCUUUAAUGUUUGAUGUUCUAACGUUGGCCCCUGACCGGGGUUGCGGACAGUGUCUGGUGGGUAGUUUGACUGGGGCGGUCUCCUCCCAAAGAGUAACGGAGGAGCACGAAGGUUAGCUAAUCCUGGUCGGACAUCAGGAGGUUAGUGCAAUGGCAUAAGCUAGCUUGACUGCGAGCGUGACGGCGCGAGCAGGUGCGAAAGCAGGUCAUAGUGAUCCGGUGGUUCUGAAUGGAAGGGCCAUCGCUCAACGGAUAAAAGGUACUCCGGGGAUAACAGGCUGAUACCGCCCAAGAGUUCAUAUCGACGGCGGUGUUUGGCA